rnacentral:rRNA from 1 species
AGAGAAUAGGCCCAAGCGACUGUUUACCAAAAACAUAGGUUUCUGCUAAGUCGCAAGACGAUGUAUAGGAGCUGACGCCUGCCCGGUGCUGGAAGGUUAAGGGGAUCUGUUAGAGUAAUCGAAGCAGUGAACUUAAGCCCCAGUAAACGGCGGCCGUAACUAUAACGGUCCUAAGGUAGCGAAAUUCCUUGUCGGGUAAGUUCCGACCCGCACGAAAGGCGUAACGAUUUGGGCACUGUCUCAACAACAGACUCGGUGAAAUUGUAAUUCCGGUGAAGAUGCCGGAUACCUGCGACAGGACGGAAAGACCCCAUGGAGCUUUACUGUAGCUUGACAUUGGGUCUUGGUACUACAUGUACAGGAUAGGUGGGAGGCUUUGAAACCAGGACGCCAGUUUUGGCGGAGCCAUCCUUGGGAUACCACCCUUGUAGUACUGGGACUCUAACCAUAGGCCAUGAAUCUGGUCUUGGGACACUGUCAGGUGGGCAGUUUGACUGGGGCGGUCGCCUCCCAAAAG